UACAGAGGUCUCAAGCGUUGUUCGGAUUCAUUGGGCGUAAAGGGUGCGUAGGUGGCGCUGUAAGUCGGGUGUGAAAUUUCGGAGCUUAACUCCGAAACUGCAUUCGAUACUGCGGUGCUUGAGGACUGGAGGAGGAGACUGGAAUUCAUGGUGUAGCAGUGAAAUGCGUAGAGAUCAUGAGGAAGACCAGUGGCGAAGGCGGGUCUCUGGACAGUUCCUGACACUGAGGCACGAAGGCCAGGGGAGCAAACGGG
rnacentral:rRNA from 1 species